CCUGGCCAACAUGGUGAAACCCCAUCUCUACUAAAAAUAUAAAAAUUAGCUGGGCGUAGUGGUGCUCGCCUGUAAUCCCAGCUGCUCGGGAGGCUGAGGCAGGAGAAUCGCUUGAACCCGGGAGGCGGAGGUUGCAGUGAACCGAGAUCGCGCCACUGCACUCCAGUCUGGGCAACAGAGCGAGACUCUGUCUCAAAAAAAAAAAAAAAAAAAAAAGUGAUUCUUUCCAGAUAGCCAUACCUUAAUCCAGUGACUGUUUUGCUUGUUACCUUAGAGUUCUCU
rnacentral:lncRNA from 1 species